GCCAUGCAUGUCUCAGUGCAUGCCAAAUUAAGGUGAAACCGCGAAUGGCUCAUUAAAUCAGUUAUGGUUCCUUAGAUCGUACCCACAUUUACUUGGAUAACUGUGGUAAUUCUAGAGCUAAUACAUGCAAACCAGAGUUCUGACCAGAGAUGGGAGGAACGCUUUUAUUAGAUCAAAACCAAUCGGUGGCGGGUUCGCUCGUCCACCGUUUACUUUGGUGACUCUGAAUAACUUUGUGCUGAUCGCACGGUCUUGCACCGGCGACGCAUCUUUCAAAUGUCUGACUUAUCAACUGUCGAUGGUAGGUUCUGCGCCUACCAUGGUUGUAACGGGUAACGGGGAAUCAGGGUUCGAUUCCGGAGAGGGAGCCUGAGAAACGGCUACCACAUCCAAGGAAGGCAGCAGGCGCGCAAAUUACCCACUCCCGGCACGGGGAGGUAGUGACGAAAAAUAACGAUACGGGACUCAUCCGAGGCCCCGUAAUCGGAAUGAGUACACUUUAAAUCCUUUAACGAGGAUCAAUUGGAGGGCAAGUCUGGUGCCAGCAGCCGCGGUAAUUCCAGCUCCAAUAGCGUAUAUUAAAGUUGUUGCGGUUAAAAAGCUCGUAGUUGAAUCUGUGUCGCACGCUGUCGGUUCGCCGCUCGCGGUGUUAACUGGCAGACUCGUGUGACGUCCUACCGGUGGACUUAGCCUUCGGGCGGUCCAACUAAUAUCCCAUCGCGGUGCUCUUAAUUGAGUGUCGAGGUGGGCCGGUACGUUUACUUUGAACAAAUUAGAGUGCUUAAAGCAGGCUAUUUUCGCCUGAAUACUGUGUGCAUGGAAUAAUGGAAUAGGACCUCGGUUCUAUUUUGUUGGUUUUCGGAAAUCCGAGGUAAUGAUUAAUAGGGACAGA
rnacentral:rRNA from 1 species